rnacentral:rRNA from 1 species
GACGAACGCUGGCGGCGUGCUUAACACAUGCAAGUCGAACGAAGUGGCGAACGGGUGAGUAACGCGUAAUCAACCUGCCCUUCAGAGGGGGACAACAGUUGGAAACGACUGCUCAUACCGCAUACUGAAGGAGGGGAUUGCGUCUGAUUAGCUAGUUGGAGGGGUAACGGCCCACCAAGGCGAUGAUCAGUAGCCGGGCUGAGAGGAUGAACGGCAACAUUGGGACUGAGACACGGCCCAGAAUCCUACGGGAGGCAGCAGGGGGGAAUCUUCCGCAAUGGACGAAAGGCUGACGGAACAACGCCGCGUGAGUGAUGACGGCCUUCGGGUUGUAAAGCUCUGUUAAUCGGGACGCGGUACCGGAAUAGAAAGCCACGGCUAACUACGUGCCAGCAGCCGCGGUAAUAC